ACUCCUACGGGAGGCAGCAGUGGGGAAUAUUGCACGAAUGGGCGCAAGCCUGAUGCAGCCAUGCCGCGUGUAUGAAGAAGGCCUUCGGGUUGUAAAGUACUUUCAGCAGUGAGGAAGGUGGAUAUGUUAAUAGCAUAUUCAUUUGACGUUAGCUGCAGAAGAAGCACCGGCUAACUCCGUGCCAGCAGCCGCGGUAAUACGGAGGGUGCGAGCGUUAAUCGGAAUUACUGGGCGUAAAGCGCAUGCAGGUGGUUUUGUUAAGUCAGAUGUGAAAGCCCGGGGCUCAACCUCGGAAUUGCAUUUGAAACUGGCAAACUAGAGUACUGGUAGAGGGGGGUAGAAUUUCAGGUGUAGCGGUGAAAUGCGUAGAGAUCUGAAGGAAUACCGGUGGCGAAGGCGGCCCCCUGGACAGAUACUGACACUCAGAUGCGAAAGCGUGGGGAGCAAACAGGAUUAGAUACCCUGGUAGGCUCU
rnacentral:rRNA from 1 species